rnacentral:tRNA from 1 species
GCCGAAGUGGCGGAACUGGUAGACGCGCUGGAUUCAAAAUCCAGUGACCAUCAGGUCGUGUGGGUUCGAGUCCCACCUUCGGCACCA